rnacentral:misc_RNA from 1 species
GGGGAACCUGCGGCUGGAUCACCUCCUUUCUGGAGUCGCCGAGUAAGCGCACGACUUGUCGUGCGUCGAAAAGCACUCGAGAGUCGCCCGCACUUUCCACACUCGAUCAUUGAUUCGCUGUUGGAACAGGCGAUUUUUUUUUGUCUGCAAAAAGCUCUUUGACAACUGACGAGUGUGUGUGUGAAGUGGUGUUAAGGGAAUCACACCGAGUAGAGAACUACGAGAUCAAGCGUGUAAGGGCGCAC